rnacentral:rRNA from 1 species
UGGAGCAUGUGGUUUAAUUCGACGCAACGCGAAGAACCUUACCAGCUCUUGACAUGUCAGGUCGGUUUCCAGAGAUGGAUUCCUCCCCAGCAAUGGGCCUGAACACAGGUGCUGCAUGGCUGUCGUCAGCCCGUGUCGUGAGAUGUUGGGUUAAGUCCCGCAACGAGCGCAACCCUCGCCAUUAGUUGCCAUCAUUAAGUUGGGCACUCUAGUGGGACUGCCGGUGAUAAGCCGGAGGAAGGUGGGGAUGACGUCAAGUCAUCAUGGCCCUUACGGGCUGGGCUACACACGUGCUACAAUGGCGGUGACAGUGGGCAGCAACUCAGCAAUGGGGAGCUAAUCUCAAAAAGCCGUCUCAGUUCGGAUUGGGGUCUGCAACUCGACCCCAUGAAGUCGGAAUCGCUAGUAAUCGCGGAUCAGCACGCCGCGGUGAAUACGUUCCCGGGCCUU